GCCGACGUAGCUCAACGGAAGAGCAGCUGAUUUGUAAUCAGCAGGUUGGGGGUUCGAUUCCCUUCGUCGGCUCCA
rnacentral:tRNA from 1 species